CGGCGCUCGGUACGUCGCUCGCUCCGUCUCUACACCGGCGCAGCUUUCCUUCGCCCAUUAAUCUGCUGGGGCGGCCGAGAUCUGGGGAUCCCAUUUUCACUUCAUUCAGGUGGUAGACAGUGGUGAAUUUCGCAUAGUGCUUGUGAUGGUGGUCCAGAAGAACUCCCAGUAGUUCUGGCCGGGCAUUUCUGGACGAACGUGUAGGGAUGAGCUCAACUAUAGUUCCUGACCAGCAUCAUCAGUCCAGCAGCCGAUCCAGCCUCGGUUCUGAUGGGGCUGCAUCUCCUUAUGCAGGAUGUGAAGAUAGCCAUUUUCGUAGAGCAAAA